GUUGGAAGUGGAACUGACAGGAUGUGCAGGUGCAGAAGCGGGAGAUGGGGGCUUCCAGGCGGGUAACCUUAGAAUGUGGUGACAGCGGAUAAAAACGGAACAUAAGUUUACCAUUGCAUUUAUAAUGCAAAGUAGAAGGGAGACUUUCACUUGCUGAACGACAUGAGGUUGAUUAAAUCUGUGCAAGGCGCCUCAUAAAGCCACUUGGCAUACCCGAAACCGAAUGAAAUGAUAAGCAGCCGGAGUGCAACAGAUUACCGGUCUGGCUUAGGGGAUCAUGGCUACUCCAGAGAGACUCAGCGGCCUGCUGAGAUUCAGAAACUCCUUGUGGAAUUCCGGACCCUUUACCACGAGCGCCUUCGACGCAUUGACCAAUCGGAUGACAGCCGGGAGGAGGCUCUGCAGACUCUCGUCUGCUCAUUCUUUCAAACUGAGGGAAGAAUUACUUAACAGAAAGGGGAACCUUUGAUGUUGGCAGGACCCAUGUUGGUACUCUCAAGGAACCUAAUGCUGCUCCUCUCAUCUAUUAGUCACAGUAAGGACU
rnacentral:lncRNA from 1 species